rnacentral:rRNA from 1 species
AUUAAACGCUGGCGGCAUGCCUUACACAUGCAAGUCGAACGGCAGCACGGGGGCAACCCUGGUGGCGAGUGGCGAACGGGUGAGUAACGCAUCGGAACGUGCCCUGGAGUGGGGGGAUAACGUAGCGAAAGUUACGCUAAUACCGCAUAUUCUGUGAGCAGGAAAGCAGGGGAUCGCAAGACCUUGCGCUCUGGGAGCGGCCGAUGUCGGAUUAGCUAGUUGGUGGGGUAAAGGCCUACCAAGGCGACGAUCCGUAGCGGGUCUGAGAGGAUGAUCCGCCACACUGGGACUGAGACACGGCCCAGACUCCUACGGGAGGCAGCAGUGGGAAUUUUGGACAAUGGGCGCAAGCCUGAUCCAGCCAUGCCGCGUGAGUGAAGAAGGCCUUCGGG